GACGAACGCUGGCGGCGUGCUUAACACAUGCAAGUCGAACGGAAAGGCCCUGCUUUUGUGGGGUGCUCGAGUGGCGAACGGGUGAGUAACACGUGAGUAACCUGCCCUUGACUUUGGGAUAACUUCAGGAAACUGGGGCUAAUACCGGAUAGGAGCUCCUGCUGCAUGGUGGGGGUUGGAAAGUUUCGGCGGUUGGGGAUGGACUCGCGGCUUAUCAGCUUGUUGGUGGGGUAGUGGCUUACCAAGGCUUUGACGGGUAGCCGGCCUGAGAGGGUGACCGGCCACAUUGGGACUGAGAUACGGCCCAGACUCCUACGGGAGGCAGCAGUGGGGAAUAUUGCACAAGGGGCGGAAGCCUGAUGCAGCAACGCCGCGUGCGGGAUGACGGCCUUCGGGUUGUAACCCGCUUUCGCCUGUGACGAAGCGUGAGUGACGGGAAUGGGUAAAGAAGCACCGGCGAACUACGG
rnacentral:rRNA from 1 species